GGGGUAAGGCAGGGAUUUGAUGGACAGACAGACAGGUUUAGAGGGGACAGGGGGUGAGGCAGGGAUUUGAUGGACAGACAGACAGGUUUAGAGGGGACAGGGGGUGAGGCAGGGAUUUGAUAGACAGACAGGGAGGUUUAGAGGGGACAGGGGUGAGGCAGGGAUUUGAUGGACGGACAGGGACGUUUAGAGGGGACAGGGGGUGAGGCAGGGAUUUGAUGGACAGACAGACAGGUUUAGAGGGGACAGGGGGUGAGGCAGGGAUUUGAUAGACAGACAGGGAGGUUUAGAGGGGACAGGGGUGAGGCAGGGAUUUGAUGGACAGACAGACAGGUUUAGAGGGGACAGGGGGUGAGGCAGGGAUUUGAUGGACAGACAGGGAGGUUUAGAGGGGACAGGGGGUGAGGCAGGGAUUUGAUGGACAGACAGACAGGUUUAGAGGGGACAGGGGUAAGGCAGGGAUUUGAUGGACAGACAGACAGGUUUAGAGGGGACAGGGGGUGAGGCAGGGAUUUGAUGGACAGACAGGGAGGUUUAGAGGGGACAGGGGGUGAGGCAGGGAUUUGAUGGACAGACAGGGAGGUUUAGAGGGGACAGGGGGUGAGGCAGGGAUUUGAUGGACAGACAGGGAGGUUUAGAGGGGACAGGGGGUGAGGCAGGGAUUUGAUGGACAGACAGGGAGGUUUAGAGGGGACAGGGGGUGAGGCAGGGAUUUGAUGGACAGACAGACAGGUUUAGAGGGGACAGGGGGUGAGGCAGGGAUUUGAUGGACAGACAGACAGGUUUAGAGGGGACAGGGGGUGAGGCAGGGAUUUGAUGGACAGACAGGGAGGUUUAGAGGGGACAGGGGGUGAGGCAGGGAUUUGAUGGACAGACAGACAGGUUUAGAGGGGACAGGGGGUGAGGCAGGGAUUUGAUAGACAGACAGGGAGGUUUAGAGGGGACAGGGGUGAGGCAGGGAUUUGAUGGACGGACAGGGACGUUUAGAGGGGACAGGGGGUGAGGCAGGGAUUUGAUGGACAGACAGACAGGUUUAGAGGGGACAGGGGGUGAGGCAGGGAUUUGAUGGACAGACAGACAGGUUUAGAGGGGACAGGGGGUGAGGCAGGGAUUUGAUAGACAGACAGGGAGGUUUAGAGGGAACAGGGGGUGAGGCAGGGAUUUGAUGGACAGACAGGGAGGUUUAGAGGGGACAGGGGGUGAGGCAGGGAUUUGAUGGACAGACAGACAGGUUUAGAGGGGACAGGGGGUGAGGCAGGGAUUUGAUGGAUAGACAGGGACGUUUAGAGGGGACAGGGGUGAGGCAGGGAUUUGAUGGACAGACAGACAGACAGGUUUAGAGGGCACGGAGUGAGGCAGGGAUUUGAUGGACGGACAGGGAGGUUUAGAGGGGACAGGGGGUGAGGCAGGGAUUUGAUGGACAGACAGGGAGGUUUAGAGGGGACAGGGGGUGAGGCAGGGAUUUGAUGGACGGACAGGGAGGUUUAGAGGGGACAGGGGGUGAGGCAGGGAUUUGAUGGACAGACAGGGAGGUUUAGAGGGGACGGGGUGAGGCAGGGAUUUGAUGGACAGACAGACAGGUUUAGAGGGGACAGGGGGCGAGGCAGGGAUUUGAUGGACAGACAGACAGACAGGUUUAGAGGGGACAGGGGUGAGGCAGGGAUUUGAUGGACAGACAGGGUAAAUGGGCAGAUGAGUGACGGUAGGGGUAAAUGGGUGACUGUAGGUGUAAAUGGGUGACUGUAGGGGUAAAUGGGUGACUGUGGGUUUAAAUGGGUGACUGUAGGUGUAAAUGGGUGACUGUUGGUUUAAAUGGGUGACUGUAGGUGUAAAUGGGUGACUGUAGGUGUAAAUGGGUGACUGUAGGUGUAAAUGGGUGACUGUAGGUUUAAAUGGGUGACUGUAGGUUUAAAUGGGUGACUGUUGGUUUAAAUGGGUGACUGUAGGUGUAAAUGGGUGACUGUAGGUUUAAAUGGGUGACUGUAGGGGUAAAUGGGUGACUGUAGGUUUAAGUGGGUGACUGUAGGUGUAAAUGGGUGACUGUAGGUGUAAAUGGGUGACUGUAGGUGUAAAUGGGUGACUGUAGGUGUAAAUGGGUGACUGUAGGUUUAAAUGGGUGACUGUAGGUUUAAAUGGGUGACUGUAGCUGUAAGGAUGUAGGGAUGUGCUA